rnacentral:rRNA from 1 species
CCUACGGGUGGCAGCAGUCGAGAAUCAUUCACAAUGGGGGAAACCCUGAUGGUGCGACGCCGCGUGGGGGAAUGAAGGUCUUCGGAUUGUAAACCCCUGUCAUGUGGGAGCAAAUUAAAAAGAUAGUACCACAAGAGGAAGAGACGGCUAAAUCUGUGCCAGCAGCCGCGGUAAUACAGAGGUCUCAAGCGUUGUUCGGAAUCACUGGGCGUAAAGCGUGCGUAGGCUGUUUCGUAAGUCGUGUGUGAAAGGGGCGGGCUCAACCCGCGGACGGCACAUGAUACUGCGAGACUAGAGUAAUGGAGGGGGAACCGGAAUUCGCGGUGUAGCAGUGAAAUGCGUAGAUAUCGAGAGGAACACUCGUGGCGAAGGCGGGUUCCUGGACAUUAACUGACGCUGAGGCACGAAGGCCAGGGGAGCGAAAGGGAUUAGAUACCCUUGUAGUC